AUCGGACUGCAGAAGUAA
rnacentral:misc_RNA from 1 species